rnacentral:sRNA from 1 species
AUUAAGGGAUGCAGUGCAGAGGGACAUGGCAAGUAAGAGCCGAUGGAGGGGUCCCUUAGCCAAGCUGGUCAUUUUAGGGGAGAGCUGGGGAGAGAUGAUCUGAGCUAGUCCAUGGACUAGUAGCUAUUAGCCAGGUAAGCGGGGGAAAGGACAUUUCCCUCUGAAGGAAGAGGAUGUCUUUAGUGACAUAAGAGAAGGUACAGCAAAGAGCACUGGCUGAAACUGGAACUUGAUCAGAGAGGGGAUUUGAUCAGGGUGACAUGGGCAAGCAGGGGACAGACUGGAAUCCCCCUGUGGGCUGUGCUAAGGAACUUAGUUCUUAGGGCUGCUGUGUAAAUGAAGAAGUACUGAAGCCUUUUAAGCAAAUAUUAGCCCUGUUAGAACUUGAGAGAACAUUCAAAAUAGUAGUGAUAGUAACAGAAGUUGGUAUUCAUUGCAUACUUCUUAUAUACCAGGUAAUGUUUUAGACAUUUUUCCUAAUAUGAGAUGUGUUGGUGUCACAGAAGCCUUGCCCAAAACCAUAGUACUAAGGUAUGAGAGCAAGCAAGGUACAAACCACAUCAGACUUCCACUACCAACCUUGCUCUCUACCACUAAGCUAUAAAAAUCCCACAUAUCCAUCUGCACGUCUCCCACUGGGCUUUCUCAGAAACAAAGGCUAUUUCCCAGCGCUGACCUCUUUCCCAUUGUAGUCUUUCAGUUUUAAUCUACCUGGUUUAGAAGUGCUCUGGCCUAAACUACAGCUGUGUGACUUUGCAAUCCCCUCCUCCCCCAGGUUUCAACUCUCUGGAAGGCAUAGAAGAUUCCAUAUGAGCUGGACUCCUUUGUCCUUCAGUGACAGUCCUGUGGCCCCCCUCCCCCCAGGAAGCCAACUCUGCAAGGUACUUUCCUUUGUUUCAAUAUCGACCCUUGCUUGGAAUCAGCUAGUGUCCCUAGUUAGGCUCAGUCUCCAGAUCUCAGAAGAAGCUCAUCUUCCUUUAGAGGGCAAUGAAAUGGAAAAAUAAUAUUAUCUCACUUGGAGCUAGUUGUUUGGAAGUAAAUUUCCAGGUAAUACUCGGAAAAAUCAAAUCACAGUUAAAUGAGAGCCCAUAAAAAUGUAAAUAAGGAUUUUUAUUCCUGGAGGGCAAAUUCCACACCAUGAGGAAGCACAAAGAUAUCCUUGGCUCCUGAGAUAUUGUCACAAAUUUCAAGUAUUUUUAUUCAAUCACUCAGUGAUAAUUUGCCCAAACACCUGCUGGUUGCCAGGUGCCUUGCUAGUUAGAGACAGAGGCAUGAUUAAGCCUUAGUUAGGAGCUUGAUUUCAACCAAAUGGAGAAUCUCGAUGUCGUUGGGAUUCUUACAAUGCAGGUGUGUAAUGAUUUUAUCUCUCUGAACAUUUCCAGUUCCCCGUGGUUGUCAACUUACAGGUAAUUUUCUAUACUACAUUUGUGUGUGUGUGUGUGUGUGUGUGUGUGUGUGUGUGUGUGUGUGUGUGUUCAUGUCCAUGCACCUGUGCCCAUGAGUAAUGUGUGAGUUGAGGUGUGGGGUUAUUAGUGGGAACACAUGUGGAGGUUAUAGGAUAGCUUUCAGGAAUCGAUUCUCUCCUUUCACAUGUAGAUUCCAAAGAUUAAACUCAGGUCAUUAGGCUUGAAGGAAAGUGCCUUUAACAGUAAGUCAUGUUGCCAGUCCAACUUGUAGGUCAUCUAAAAACACUAUUUCCCUUGAAAUCCAGCUAGCCAGCUAGCCAGCUACUUUCAUUCUAGGAAAAGAGAUGUGGUUCUUAACUUGGGUCACCUGGCUGGGGCAAUUUGUCCCCAGUUUAUCACUUCCUCCUACUCCCUCUUUGACUAACAAAUGAUUAGGCUUUCUCUGGCCCACACUGUUACAGGUCUAUUUGGGAAUUAUUGAACUGUGGUAAUUUUCUUCAGUAAAAAGGAAGCAGUUUUGCUUCUCACGAUCUCAAAAGAAUCACAUUGCCUAAAGAACCAGAAGCAGAAAUAGUUGAAGAAAUGUCAGUGUUUUAGAGACUCUCUGCAAAGCCUGUUUAUUAUUUGUUCAUGACCCAGUGCCAUCUGUUCUGCAUACCGAAGAGUUUCUCUUAGGGUUUACACAUUCGGAGCUCAGACACAUGCCUGAGGAUAAGUCAUUGUGCAAAUAAAGUGAGGAUGUAAGUCCCUCAUUCAAUCUGAUACAGGCAUUUUUAUAAACAAAGCAAGACCACACUUCCGAAAUGAUGACUAUAAGAGAGAAAGAAGUGAGUGGACAUGGCCAGAGGAAAGGAAAGAAGCUGUGACCAGUGUCAUACACCAGGGGGUUCUAUUCUUUCUGAAUGUCAGAGCUUGUCUUUCUCAUUCCUAGGAGGAAGUACAAGGAGAGCUUCAAGGAAGUGAGAUUUUCAGGCAAAAGGACCAAAUGACCAUAGAAACUUCUGAAACCAGAAGCCAAAGUGAACUUUUCUUCCGCCAUGUUGGAGUCAAGUUAUUGGUCACAACAAUGGAAACUUAACUCAGAGAUCAUGACAUGAUCCCACUAAGAACCUCUGGGCUUCCUACUUUCCCCUUAGCAGACUCCUCUCCCCAGGCAGCAUCCAUCUUUUUGAAGCCUGUCUAGACACUGGGCUUUCUACAGGUAACUAGAGGUUAUAUAUUAUAAACUCCUGCUUUUCAUGCUUUCACGUGCAUGUACAUAGUUGUCACAUGUACCCUCCUUCAUAUUGUUUGGGUUCUGAAGCUUACCUGACUGACUGGUAAAUGCUUAGCUUACAUUGGCCAUCUUAGCCCAUUUCCCCUCUCAAGCCUUGUCUGGCCUUGUUGUUGUAAAAUUAUAAAAAAUAAAAUGCUG